rnacentral:misc_RNA from 1 species
GAUGAAGACGUAGCAAAGUGCGAUAAGUAAUGUGAAUUGCAGAAUUCAGUGAAUCAUCGAAUCUUUGAACGCACAUUGCGCCCGCUGGUAUUCCGGCGGGCAUGCCUGUUCGAGCGUCAUUUCAACCCUCAAGCCCCCGGGUUUGGUGUUGGGGAUCGGCUCUGCCCUUCUGGGCGGUGCCGCCCCCGAAAUACAUUGGCGGUCUCGCUGCAGCCUCCAUUGCGUAGUAGCUAACACCUCGCAACUGGAACGCGGCGCGGCCAUGCCGUAAAACCCCAACUUCUGAAUGUUGACCUCGGAUCAGGUAGGAAUACCCGCUGAACUUAAGCAUAUCAAUAAGCGGAGGA